UAGGGAAUAUUGCGCAAUGGGCGAAAGCCUGACGCAGCAACACCGUGUGUAGGAUGAAGGUUUUCGGAUCGUAAACUACUGUUAGCAGGGAAUAUUAUGACUGUACCUGCAGAGGAAGCAUCGGCUAACUACGUGCCAGCAGCCGCGGUAAUACGUAGGAUGCAAGCGUUGUCCGGAAUUAUUGGGCGUAAAGAGUUCGUAGGCGGUGAUUUAAGUCUGAUGUUAAAGCCCGGAGCUUAACUCCGGCAUGGCAUUGGAAACUGGAUUGCUAGAGUGUGAUAGAGGUAACUGGAAUUCCAGGUGUAGCGGUGAAAUGCGUAGAUAUCUGGAGGAACACCGGUGGCGAAAGCGAGUUACUGGAUCAUAACUGACGCUGAGGAACGAGAGCCAGGGUAGCAAAAGGG
rnacentral:rRNA from 1 species